CAGCCUCUGUUUCCCCAGCCCUGGGAUUACAUACAUGCACCACCUUGCCCAGCUCCAUUCUGAUCUGCCUUCCCAGAUAUUCUGCUUAUAAAAUAAGAGGCUUGAACUUCACCAUAGGUGGGAAAGUCAGAUGCUAUCAGAAGCCAGGAGAGAAGACCCAGCAAGUUCAGAAAGCAGGACCCGGAAUCGAGGGCAACCACCGCUGUGGACAGCAGUGGGAACACUGGCCUAGGAUGUGCAAGGCCCUGGGUUUCUACCCAUAAUGUGGGUCUGUUUUCAUGGAGGGAGGCUGGAUGGAGAGUCUAGAAAAUUUUCGAGAGAUCAUGGACCACCCAAAAAGCAUGAAGAUCCACAUACCAACUUAAAAUGAAAUCUGUAUGUGCCUGUUGAUAGGUGUGGGCAUGGGUCUGUCAUGGCACAGCAGGUGUGAAAGGGAUGACAGCGGCGGGGGAGGGGGGGUAGAAUCCCUGCCAGGCUGGCUGUCUCCCCCUCCUGUCUCACAGAAGGGGCACUGGGAACACAGAUCCUGGCUACCUGGGAACUUUAGCUCUGGUCCUCGUGGUGUGGGGCUGGGGCUUUACCCAGUGAACUAACCCCUCGCUCCUGCUCCUGCCUCCACGUUCAGGAUCCAGAACUUGAGCUGAAGGGCUUUUCCCCUCCCCCACCUUCUCGGGAGGCAAAUGUUAAGCAUACAUUUAAACUUUACAAUCUAAAUUGAAUAGCCACAGGUGUUCUGGAAAUGGGCCCCAGUGAUGGUCCCCUCAACCUUCAAAUGCAAAAGAAUCCAAAGAUCCAUAAAGAAAAUUUCAGAAAGGAACGAGAUGAGUUUGUAUUCUCUUACAUUCUAAGAGGCUUAAACUUUUGCUGGGCCUCACAGCCGAGUUAGUACAACACUUAAGACCGCUACACUAAUGUGUAUUCGGCCUGCCCGUUUAAUCUGCCUUCAUGAAAGCAGUGUAAUUGAUUGGAUUUCCCAUGUAUCAACAUUUACAAUCUAAGUUAACAGAGAACUGUAAUUUUAAAUUACAUGCUCUUUCAUGGCCCUGACCCAGAGUAAUGUACCCAAGUUCCAAUAAGCAAUUUGCUGACUGUGGCAAAAAUAGAAGUUGAAAGAAACCUUCUAAAAUGAAUAUCCACCAUAAAUGUUAAACACAACCCGUGAAUAUCAGUUUAUCAACUGAUUAUUAACAGUAAUAUUAACAGUAAUAAUUGUUCUCUGGGUCAGUUGGGCUCAGUUGGACUCACUGAUAUUUCCCUUGUAAAACAUUGCUAAAGAUUUCUUAAAGUUUCCCAUUCCUUUCCCAUGAAUUCUUGCUUUACUGUCAAUAAAGACAGAGUGAAGCCCUUCGUGAGGAACAGACACACAGACCGAUUCACAAGACAGCCUGAGGAACAAACGCACAGACAGAUUUGCAGACACACAAACAUAGGGACAGGGACAGAUUCACAAAGCAGCCUUCAGGCAGGAACAGAUUAAGACUCCUGUAACAGACAGGGGACAGAAGGAAGACACACGGAGAGCAAGGUAGAGAAUUUCACAAUCUGGGCUCAGUGACCCCAAGGGAAAAUGCUUUGAUUUCUCUUCUUAACAUUACUGACAACUCUUCAGUUUAGUGUAAAUUCAUGGAAACCAACCACGCUUUUCUUCAAUAGUGACACUGCAACACCCCCAUGCCUCGUUUACAAAGUGCUGAGGGUCACAAUCAACAAAGACUCUCCACAACCUCCCUCGUGAUACCCCUGCCCACCCCAGGACCCUCGGAUGUGACCCCGGCAAGAGCGUCACACCUCCACUUUCUCUGCAGCGCACUUGGCAGGAACAGCAAUGCUUCUGUCCCCGAGAUCCCCCACCAGGUUUCCCAGGGGACAAGUCUCAGUGAUGUCUACAGGUGUCUCCCUGAUCAGGAUGGGAAGUGGGCACCACAACCCACUGGCCAGAUCUUGGCCAUGUGCUCAUCACGGAACAGAGAUGUAGAAGUUAAAGUGACUGUCGGAUCCACUUGUUUGAGAGAAUGAGGGGGCUGGAGAGAUGAUUGGCAGUUAAGCCUUCCUGGAAACCCCCUCCCAGCCACAGCCAGUGUCUCCUAGACGACCCCAAAUCCAGUAGGUUACUACAUUGACGAAUCGUCACUAUGUACACAAGCAUCACUAGGAAUCCAAAGAAAGAUUUGAAUUGACAACGUGUCACUGGCGAUGGGGACGCCAAGGAAGAGACGUUGUUGUCAAAGCCUGUGCCCCACCAGGCCCCACCAGUACAGAUCAAGGACAGGGUGAGAAGGCUCCUAGCAUGCUUUGCUUCCUGAGCAUAGCCCUUGACAUGUGUAGCCCAGGAUAUCCACUAGAAUUGGGAGGUUAGGAUUUAUUUCCGAACACACCAUGAGAAAGAAACUGUGUUUGGCUCUUAACGACAAAAUGAGACAGGGCAGCUGAGCCAGGUUGAGGAAGCUUCCUGCCUUUUAUCCUUAUCACGCUCUGGAGUAGAUGGCUUGGCGCCAUUUGCCUCAUCCUAGAGACACUGUGAGGUCCCUGACUGAGAGACAAGGUGUCAGGGUGGCGGUAUGGUAAGCCCACACCCUGACUUCCACCUGAAGAACCCUGCAGAAGACUCCAGGCUAUGAGAGCUGUCAAUAAGCAUCAUGCCCAGAUUCCCAGUGAGGUCUACUGUGGCCUGUGAACACCAUGCUGUCUCUAACCCCGUAGACCAGGCUACAAGCCCAAGUCUCAGAAGCCCGAGCCCCAGGCCCCAGAGCAGAAUCUCCAGAACCUGUUCCUGCAUGCUGUUGCACAGAACACUGGCAAAAGCAGCUUCAGGGAGCUUACUGCAGCUCACAGAUGAGGUGCAGUCUGUCACAGUGGGAAGGCGUGGUGACAGGGUACGAGGCAGCUAUGACAUUGCAUCUGUAGUCAGGAGACAGAGAUGCAGGCUGGUUCUCAGCUUGCUUCUCCUUUUUCUUCAGUCCAGGUCACCACCAUUCAGAUUAAGUCCGAACCUCUCUGGAAACAUCUUCAUAGACACGCUCAGAGCUGUGUCUUCUAGGUGAUUCUAUCCCAGUCCAGUUGAUGAGGUCCAUGUCUGCUGGGGUGUAUACUGUAGGAAGUCUUACAGCCAAUGGUUACCCUCCUCCUCCUACAAAUUGGUGCCAAUGUAAUGGACUAAAUCCACUUAAAAACCUGAGAGAGCUUAA